CCUUCGAUAGCUCAGUUGGUAGAGCGGUGGACUGUAGGUGGUUGGCGAGUCACUCGCCGUGCGGGCAUCCAUAGGUCGCUGGUUCAAAUCCGGCUCGAAGGA
rfam:Arabis alpina cultivar Pajares scaff_60927_1_contig_0, whole genome shotgun sequence.